UACGAAGGGGGCUAGCGUUGCUCGGAAUCACUGGGCGUAAAGGGUGCGUAGGCGGGUCUUUAAGUCAGGGGUGAAAUCCUGGAGCUCAACUCCAGAACUGCCUUUGAUACUGGAGACCUUGAGUCCGGGAGAGGUGAGUGGAAUUGCGAGUGUAGAGGUGAAAUUCGUAGAUAUUCGGAAGAACACCAGUGGCGAAGGCGGCUCACUGGCCCGGUACUGACGCUGAGGUGCGAAAGCGUGGGGAGCAAACAGG
rnacentral:rRNA from 1 species